GUGGGAGGGAAAAUGCAUUAACUAAAUUAUAAGAAACCCUCCAAGCAGAAAUAAAUACUGAAAAGGAAGCUAAAAAGAAAUCAAAGCAUACACAAGAGUUGUAAUAUUUUAAAGCAUGGAAAGAGGAAUGAAGUGGAAUAAACAAAAGGUUAAAUUAAGGUUAACUUAAAUUAAAGCAAUGAAACAAAAUUGGGAAGACAACCAAGCUGAAUGAAUAGAAUGCGUGAAACCAGAUAAUUCACACAAAAUAUAUCAAAUAAAAAAGAGAUGCAUAAGGCAUAUUAAGGCUGUGUCAUUGUUCAGCCAAGGAAAAUGUCUCCAGCUUGGGAAGGUGUGAAACUGCAGGUCACAUCGGCCUUUGAUGGAUACAUAAUAAAAUAUAAACUAAUAUACUAUUGUAUAUUAGUAGUAAAGUAGUGUAUUGUGAUAUACUAUUGCUGUUAUAAAAAAGGAAAAACAAUACAAUGAUAACAUUAAUAAUGACAUACUAUUAAUAGGAAGAGGCACUUCAGUCAGUUAUGAUGCGAGGUGGAAGAUUGUUAAAAGUAGUCUGAUUCAAGCUUAAGGUUUGCUCAAACUCAGUACAAUGAUAUAGGAGAUGAAGAAAAUAAGGAAAUAACUACACUAAUCAGGUGCAUAGAGACACUUGACCUGCUUGUAAACCUGUCAUCUUAGAUGAGACUUUGUUAAGAUGAAGAGCAAACCUAUACUAACAACUAACUAGAAAGUGCAUUUUCUGAAGAAACUGCAGUGUGAAUGCUUGAAUCUGAAUGUAUGCACUGAAAUGAAUUAAUUGCUGAAUGUAAGUUACAAAUUUGGAAUGAGAUGAAAAAUACAGAAAUUUUCGCCUGAAAACAAAAGUGCAGAAUUUAUAAAAGCUGACAUUCACAAAGAAGAAGAAGUUGGAAAAUAGUUGAAAUAUGUCUGUGAAGGUUCUCAGUCAUCCAGGUCAUCGUAGUCAAAGGAGUUUGCAAAGAAAAGCGUCUGGACUUCUUUAAGUUGCUUGAAGACGUUUCACCUCUCAUCCGAGAAGCUUCUUCAGUUCUAAGGUCAAAUGGCCGAGAGUCCCAGAUUUAAACCCAGUGGGAGUAUCCCCCCAAGGAGGGACAAAGGACCCCCUGGUGAUCCUCUAAUCACAUGCGCCAAGGUGUGAAAAUGGGUGUGGGACCAAAUCAGCCAGGGUUUCGGGUGAGCUCAUUGUGAAACCUGGCCCCACCCUAUCAUGUGAUUUCCUGAGGUCAGAUGGCCCAGGAUGUGAGUGGGCGUUAAGGCGUCUGGGGAGGGAACUCAAAACUGGAUUAUAGAUGGCAGACAGUUGGUGUCGUAAACCACCGCCUCUGUUCAAAGAUGGUCGCUCACAGUGGACAUAGAUGGCCUCUUUCACUCCUCUUUCAAACCAUCUGUCCUCUCUGUCCAAUAUGUGAACAUUGGCAUCCUCGAAAGAGUGACCUUUAUCCUUAAGAUGCAGAUGGACUGCUGAGUCUUGUCCUGUGGAGGUGGCUCUUCUAUGCUGUGCCAUGCGCUUGUGAAGUGGCUGUUUGGUCUCUCCAAUGUAGAGGUCUGGGCAUUCCUCGCUGCACUGUACAGCAUACACCACGUUGUUCAGUCUGUGUUUUGGAGUUUUGUCUUUCGGGUGAACCAGUUUGUGUCUGAGUGUGUUGCUGGGUCUGAAGUACACUGGGAUGUCAUGCUUGGAGAAAACUCUCCUGAGUUUCUCUGAUACACCGGCUACAUAGGGGAUGACAACGUUGUUGCGUCUGUCUUUCUUAUCCUCCCUCGCUGGUGUCUGAUCUUCUUUUCUGUGCCUUUUUGCUGACUUUAUGAACGCCCAGUUAGGAUAACCACAGGUUUUCAGUGCUUCCUUUACAUGUGUGUGUUCCUUCUUUUUCCCUUCAGGCUUAGAGGGAACAAGUUCUGCCCGGUGGUGUAGGGUCCUAAUUACUCCAAGUUUGUGUUCCAGAGGGUGAUGGGAGUCAAAGAGGAGAUACUGGUCCGUGUGUGUGGGCUUCCGGUAAACUUAAAUUAUCACAGACAGAAGCAGAGCAAAUCAGGAUGAAAGUCUCAGCCACCCUGUCCAGUGCCAAAGUCCCUCCGUCUAACCUCACACUACAAGAAAAGAAGGCCGUCGCUUCCCUGAGCAAAGACCACAACAUCACUAUAUUACCUGUCUUUUGCCAUUUGGGAUUUUCCCUUAACAUUUCUUGGUCCUUCGAGCCGGAUGGGACGGGCUAUUUAAAGCAGCUCCCAUAAGAGGCACCUCACCAGGUCCCGUCGGUGCGAGAAGCCCACGUUGAAGUCUGUCGACAGCUCACGCACUAGGUGCGUGAUAAAGCCCAAGGACGUGAAUUCGGGUCUUGGCCAACGUUUUACAAGCGGUCCGCACCGUCGGGGGCUAAUUGGGUGCAUCUGAAGAAACCACCAUUAAGGCUGCUUUGCCGGUCCUGAAAGCCAAAGCUGACCUGGACUCCUGCUCUCCCCUCUACCAUCUCUGACCCUGACCAAAUGCUGCAGCAGCUGGACCCAUAACAACAAUCUAAAAAUGUCAACAGUGCUACAGGAAAGCGAUCUCAUGCAGCAGAGACGGGGAGCGUUAAAUCCAAGGCUCGUUUCACUACACGGAGGAGAUUUCCAGACAGCUUCAGCUGACAGAGCUGUGACGAGACGCCCAUUAAGCCCGAAUGAAAAGUAAGGCCGAGCAAAAGAAUGCUGACCUUGAUAACUCUGCAUUAACACUGUACAGGACAGUGAUGGACCAACACGGAUGAUCAGGCAGCAGAAGAAAGGGCGUGCCAGAGACAGGAGAAGCAACUGAGGUCAAAAGGCACCUCAGAAUGGACAAAACACAGAAGAAGAUGCAGGUUUCACCUGCGGUGAGCAUGGACACUGGAGAAAGGACUGCCCCAAUUGGGGCCAGGACCAGGACAGACUGAACUUUGAGCAGCAGCAGCAAUGGUCGCAACCGGACUGAAAAGGAGGAGGGCAGGACCCCAGGGCACGCUUCAGGCCGUGGUUUACCCAAAACACCAGAACAGGAAAGUGAUAAAUACACCAACAUACACAUCUACACACACACCAGACAAUGUACACUCAUCAAACAUGACUGAUGCCCUGAACGCCUUGAGACAGAUCCAGCAGGCCCAAACUCAGGACUAUGUAAAUAAUACAAGUGACUGCUAAAAAGACUACUACUGCCUUUUCACUGUGCAAUACUUUUUGUUAAAAACCAACGGUGCAAUAGACUUCAAUACUUGAAAUACUUGAAAUACUUGCAAUUCCUUUGUGUUCUUAUUCUUAUUUAUUCUAUUUAUCCCUUUUUGUAUUUUCACUUUUAUUUUGUGUUUUGUAACAUGUAUCCUGCCAUGUCUAAAACUCAUGAUUAACCGUAUAGUUGUUUCCACUGUUGCUGCAUACAUAGCCGUGACAAAUGAUGAUGAUGAUGACUCUGACCUGUUGGAACAUGAAAACUUUGUGUGAUUAAUGAUGGUGUGAUAGAAACUGUACAACAAGAUGUUACAUACUGAUAUCUCACUUGAAAGUUAUACUGACAACAGGAGGGAAUGUCAAUGGAAAAUUGUACUUAGUAGUCAGUAUAAGCUUGCAUAUGAUAGAAUACUGUAUGUUGACCUUUUGAUGACUUAGACUGUUGUCCACUACAAGACUGUUUUAUAAAUUCUUUCUUACAGCGAUAAUAGCUGAACAAGCAGGAAGAGGAGAGCUGGACACUUUUAUCUGCGCUCUCUAACAAGAAGAAGGGCUGCGUCCUUCUGAAUCUCACAACACACACACAUACACCUGAACCACUCUUAUCUUCACUCCCUACGUACUAACAUUCCGGAACGGAACGUUCCAGUAAGAUAGCCACAUACUGUUGUAUAGUCAUUUUUCUCAGAAGAGCGAAAAUACGCCGCCCUGUUGUGUGGGCACCAGUGACUAUAAAUGCACGAAUAAAGAAGUACACUGUGUGACUCUCUUCUGAGACGCUCACCCAUGUACAUGUGAUUUAUUACGC
ensembl:lncRNA